rnacentral:rRNA from 1 species
GUCCACGCCGUAAACGGUGGGCACUAGGUGUGGGGGCCAUUCCACGGUCUCUGUGCCGCAGCUAACGCAUUAAGUGCACCGCCUGGGGAGUACGGCCGCAAGGCUAAAACUCAAAGGAAUUGACGGGGGCCCGCACAAGCGGCGGAGCAUGUGGAUUAAUUCGAUGCAACGCGAAGAACCUUACCUGGGUUUGACAUGCGCCAGACGCCGUCAGAGAUGGCGGUUCCCUUGUGGUUGGUGUGCAGGUGGUGCAUGGCUGUCGU